GGUGGGUGCAGUGGCGUCCGCCUGUAAUCCCAGCAGCCUGGGAGGCAGAGGCAGGAGGAUCGCAAGUUCAAAGCCAGUCUCAGCAACUACAAGGCUCUCAGCAACUCAGUGAGCCCCUGUCUCUA
rnacentral:sRNA from 1 species